UACGAAGGGGGCUAGCGUUGUUCGGAAUUACUGGGCGUAAAGCGCACGUAGGCGGACUAUUAAGUCAGGGGUGAAAUCCCGGGGCUCAACCCCGGAACUGCCUUUGAUACUGGUAGUCUCGAGUCCGGAAGAGGUGAGUGGAAUUCCGAGUGUAGAGGUGAAAUUCGUAGAUAUUCGGAGGAACACCAGUGGCGAAAGCGGCCACCUGGACUGCACCUGACGCUGACACGCGAAAGCUAGGGGAGCGAACGGG
rnacentral:rRNA from 1 species